GUUGUAGACUUAAAGUUGGGUCAGGAAAUUUUCUGCGCUAUAGAUCCUUGGCACUGAGUUGUGAUGAUGCUAAAUUUACUGACCUAUAUUCAAAUUGGACUUCUCUGGCUAUGCUUGUCUGAGGGUGCUUCAUAGCAGCCUUUUCUUUGGGGACUUAGACAUUAUUGUGAAUACACUCUCUCAGCUUCUGAAUUGUAAAUAUAUAAAUAGAAUAAUAGAUAGAUUAGACAUUUAUAUG
rnacentral:misc_RNA from 1 species